GAUGAAGAACGUAGCGAAAUGCGAUAAGUAAUAUGAAUUGCAGAAUUCAGUGAAUCAUCGAAUCUUUGAACGCACAUUGCGCCCGCUGGUAUUCCGGCGGGCAUGCCUGUUCGAGCGUCAUUUCAACCCUCAAGCUCUCCGGAGUUUGGUGUUGGGGCGCCUGGGGCUUUUCGACCUCAGGGCCCUCAAGUCCAUCGGCGGGACCGCCAGGACACUGAGCGCAGUAGUAUUAUUUCGCUCGGUAGGAUCUUCCACGGCGGGUCGAUCUGGCCGCUAAACCCCCCAAAUCUCACCAAAGGUUGACCUCGGAUCAGGUAGGAAUACCCGCUGAACUUAAGCAUAUCAAUAAGCGGAGGA
rnacentral:misc_RNA from 1 species